rnacentral:rRNA from 1 species
CCUACGGGAGGCAGCAGUGAGGAAUAUUGGUCAAUGGGAGAGAUCCUGAACCAGCCAAGCCGCGUGAGGGAAGACGGCCCUAUGGGUUGUAAACCUCUUUUGUCGGAGAACAAAACCCGGGACGUGUCCCGGACUGCGUGUAUCCGAAGAAAAAGCAUCGGCUAACUCCGUGCCAGCAGCCGCGGUAAUACGGAGGAUGCGAGCGUUAUCCGGAUUUAUUGGGUUUAAAGGGUGCGUAGGCGGUCCGUUAAGUCAGCGGUAAAAUUGCGGGGCUCAACCCCGGCCUGCCGUCGGAACUGGGUGCCUUGAGUGGGCGAGAAGUAUGCGGAAUGCGUGGUGUAGCGGUGAAAUGCAUAGAUAUCACGCAGAACCCCGAUUGCGAAGGCAGCAUACCGGCGCCCUACUGACGCUGAGGCACGAAAGUGCGGGUAUCGAACAGGAUUAGAUACCCUUGUAGUC